GCAAGUCGAGCGCGCCCUUCGGGGUGAGCGGCGGACGGGUGAGUAACGCGUGGGAACGUGCCCUUUUCUACGGAAUAGCCCUUGGAAACGAGGAUUAAUACCGUAUACGCCCUUUCGGGGGGAAAGAUUUAUCGGAGAAGGAUCGGCCCGCGUUAGAUUAGGUAGUUGGUGGGGUAAUGGCCUACCAAGCCGACGAUCUAUAGCUGGUUUGAGAGGAUGAUC
rnacentral:rRNA from 1 species